rnacentral:snRNA from 1 species
CUUCCUACUUGGCAGGGGAGAUACCAUAAUCAAGGUUGUUUUCCCAGGGUGAGGCCUGUCCCUCGCACUCCGGGCAGAAUCACCCCUGCAAGUUUCGAGAUGCGGAAAACUCGACCGCACAGUUUCGUAGUAACGGGACUGUUUGCGCUUUUCCCCU